AAAUUGAAGAGUUUGAUCAUGGCUCAGAUUGAACGCUGGCGGCAGGCCUAACACAUGCAAGUCGAACGGUAACAGGAAGCAGCUUGCUGCUUCGCUGACGAGUGGCGGACGGGUGAGUAAUGUCUGGGAAACUGCCUGAUGGAGGGGGAUAACUACUGGAAACGGUGGCUAAUACCGCAUAACGUCGCAAGACCAAAGAGGGGGACCUUCGGGCCUCUUGCCAUCAGAUGUGCCCAGAUGGGAUUAGCUUGUUGGUGAGGUAACGGCUCACCAAGGCGACGAUCCCUAGCUGGUCUGAGAGGAUGACCAGCCACACUGGAACUGAGACACGGUCCAGACUCCUACGGGAGGCAGCAGUGGGGAAUAUUGCACAAUGGGCGCAAGCCUGAUGCAGCCAUGCCGCGUGUAUGAAGAAGGCCUUCGGGUUGUAAAGUACUUUCAGCGGGGAGGAAGGUGUUGUGGUUAAUAACCACAGCAAUUGACGUUACCCGCAGAAGAAGCACCGGCUAACUCCGUGCCAGCAGCCGCGGUAAUACGGAGGGUGCAAGCGUUAAUCGGAAUUACUGGGCGUAAAGCGCACGCAGGCGGUCUGUCAAGUCGGAUGUGAAAUCCCCGGGCUCAACCUGGGAACUGCAUUCGAAACUGGCAGGCUUGAGUCUUGUAGAGGGGGGUAGAAUUCCAGGUGUAGCGGUGAAAUGCGUAGAGAUCUGGAGGAAUACCGGUGGCGAAGGCGGCCCCCUGGACAAAGACUGACGCUCAGGUGCGAAAGCGUGGGGAGCAAACAGGAUUAGAUACCCUGGUAGUCCACGCCGUAAACGAUGUCUACUUGGAGGUUGUGCCCUUGAGGCGUGGCUUCCGGAGCUAACGCGUUAAGUAGACCGCCUGGGGAGUACGGCCGCAAGGUUAAAACUCAAAUGAAUUGACGGGGGCCCGCACAAGCGGUGGAGCAUGUGGUUUAAUUCGAUGCAACGCGAAGAACCUUACCUGGUCUUGACAUCCACAGAACUUUCCAGAGAUGGAUUGGUGCCUUCGGGAACUGUGAGACAGGUGCUGCAUGGCUGUCGUCAGCUCGUGUUGUGAAAUGUUGGGUUAAGUCCCGCAACGAGCGCAACCCUUAUCCUUUGUUGCCAGCGAUUCGGUCGGGAACUCAAAGGAGACUGCCAGUGAUAAACUGGAGGAAGGUGGGGAUGACGUCAAGUCAUCAUGGCCCUUACGACCAGGGCUACACACGUGCUACAAUGGCGCAUACAAAGAGAAGCGACCUCGCGAGAGCAAGCGGACCUCAUAAAGUGCGUCGUAGUCCGGAUUGGAGUCUGCAACUCGACUCCAUGAAGUCGGAAUCGCUAGUAAUCGUGGAUCAGAAUGCCACGGUGAAUACGUUCCCGGGCCUUGUACACACCGCCCGUCACACCAUGGGAGUGGGUUGCAAAAGAAGUAGGUAGCUUAACCUUCGGGAGGGCGCUUACCACUUUGUGAUUCAUGACUGGGGUGAAGUCGUAACAAGGUAACCGUAGGGGAACCUGCGGUUGGAUCACCUCCUUA
rnacentral:rRNA from 1 species